AUGGAAACAAGAAGAUGAUGAAGAACACACAAACUGAGAACAACAUGGAGGCGGGCACCGGCUCUCUUUUUCCAAUAACACAGAGUCUGAGAUUAUUAUGUCAGCUACUCGGGCUGUUCAGCUGCUUCACCGGUACUUCUCUUUUUUCAUUUGGAAUAAAAUGUUUCGCUAGUCCAAUUGCCUUUCUCAGCAAAACCUCAACUGUGAUCCACGUCCAAGCCCUUCGCAUGAAAAUCUCCUUCAAAAACAUGCCCUCAAACCAGUUCAAAAUGAUUGUGGCCCUCGGACAAAACAGGUUGGACACUGCAGAUUUGCAUGAUCUCCACCGGAGCAAAUACGUUCUUGCAAGGAUGUUUCACUGGAGUCAGGAGAAUUCAGACGAGACUCAUUGUGAUUGUGCCCCAACGGUAAGCAAACAAAUACACGCGCACGUGUGCGUACGCUUGUAUGUGUACGGCUAUGUGCGAACGUGUUGGACACAAUCCCUCACGCUCCUUCCCGCUCUUUUAUGUGCAAGAGAAUAUUAAUAUAUUACUAUAGUAUCAAUACGGUUAAGGGCCUGGAGGUUAGAGGUACCUGUGCUCACCCCACUAAAACCCGCACACACGCACACUGCACAAACAUACAGUUAAAUGAACACGUGUACAUCUGUAUGUAUGCCGGCGUGUUCUUUGCACACAGGCACACCAAUUUCCGCACUUAUUCAUUCACACGCCGUGGAAUGGCUUGUUCUCCCUCGGGCUCGGAGCCUUCCCAGUCCGUGCGUCUUCACCUCCGUACCCAUCAGCACCUCUAGGAAGCGUCUCACAGACAUCCUGCCCCAAGCCCACAUCAUGACCAAUUACAGGCCUGUCGCUGGAGCGCCCAGCCGAGAGACGCUGAUAAUUGAUGGGCCAAAACAGACGCGACCAUGGAGGUGGCCUGGGCAGGACCGGUGUUACACAAAGCACUCAAAACACGCUCUCGCCGAACCAUCAUCACAUGGGUGUGCUGUCAGGUGGUGUUUGGCCUAACGCUCCCGAGCCUUAAUGUAUCGGUCCCUCCUCGAAAGGCUGAAGGAGGGACAAUGACUCACGGAGGUUUCUCCUCGAGAGCACUGUCGACUGCGUCGGCACUUCAGCGACGUCUUAAUGUGCUUCUGGGUGGGUCCAUAUGUCUGCGACUGUGCGUUUGCGUGUAUGUGAACUUGGGUCAAGUGAGUCUCAGGUCACGUCACAUCAGCCAUACUGAUCAGUUUCAUUUACUGUUUUAGCUAGUGCCCUUCUCCAAACUUACCAUAGUUUACUUAUUCAUACACACACACACACACACACACACACAGUCUGAAACCCAUUGUCCCAGGCGGGAUUGCGGCGAACCGGAGCCUAACCCGGCAACACAGGGCGCAAGGCCGGAGGCGAAGGGGACACACCCAGGAUGGGAUGCCAGUCCAUCGCGAGGCACCCCUAGCGGGAUUUAAACCCCAGAGCCACCAGAGAGCAGGACAUGGUCAAACCCGCCAUGCCACCACACCCCCAGUCUUAUUCA
rnacentral:lncRNA from 1 species